UACGUAGGUGGCAAGCGUUGUCCGGAUUUACUGGGCGUAAAGGAUGCGUAGGCGGACAUUUAAGUCAGAUGUGAAAUACCCGAGCUUAACUUGGGUGCUGCAUUUGAAACUGGGUGUCUAGAGUGCAGGAGAGGUAAGUGGAAUUCCUAGUGUAGCGGUGAAAUGCGUAGAGAUUAGGAAGAACACCAGUGGCGAAGGCGACUCACUGGACACGUAUUGACGCUGAGGUGCGAAGGCGUGGGGAGCAAACAGG
rnacentral:rRNA from 1 species